UUAGCUUCUUUGAUCGGAGUGGAGACGGUUGCCUGGUCGCCAUUUGUACAUUUUUUCUAGAAUUUGGAAAUUCCUUAGCUAGUUUAUUUUUUUAUUUAGGUUAUCUCUCUUCUAAUUGUGCUGCUGAGUAUUGUUAAAUAUUAGUUGUAGCCAUUUCGAUUUCACAAAACAUUUAUCCCUCUCAAACAGUAUCGAUAUUUACCAUAUUUGUUCUUGUCCAGCCUAGAUCACUCCUUGCCUAGAUUUUGAUUCAUUGCUCAAAGUGACUUCACAUAGAAAUUUUCCAAAACUAUUUUUGUUCUGUUUUCAUUUUUAUUCAGAAUAGUCAAUCCACCCAAAAGUUUUUUGUGUUAAUCUGUUCUUUGAACAGUUCUAUUCUAUUCAGAUUCUUUGACUUCAGAAGUUGCAGACGGUGAGGUGUUGAGAUAUCUCAGAUCUGCCAGAUUGACCAGGACUUGUGUGUUCAUCACCAAAUUAUUUCAUGUUGUAAUAAAACUAUGUCCGCUAAAUGGCGCGAAUUGGUCCGUUAGUGACGAAAUUUCUGCCAUUUCUUCUAAAGACACUGAGCGGAAAGGUUACUCAUUCUUUGUUAUUAAGGAUAUGUGGAUUACAUUUGUUAUUUUCAAGUUGGAAAACUUGACAACUACAAAUUCCUUUGUAAGAUUUAUCAAGCCAGGUGAAGUCUGCGCUUCUUUGUUGCAGUCUAAUGUACACAUGGAUUGGUUGCAGUCAUCCAGUGAAAGGUGUGAUUAAAUUGAGCUGUUGCAUGCAGUCUUUGGUGCUGAUGUUGUCCUGGAGUGUGGGAGAGUUCCAUGCAUGCUUCAAGUCUUCUGGGAUCAGCCAUAUCUGAGUUGAUGCUGGAUCAUGCUGCAUUGUGGUUGCCGAAAUGUUGGACAUCUAGUAGAACUGCAAGAAGACCCCUUGAAAUGGUUUAUGUUUACGUAGCAGUGAUGUUGCUGUCCAAAUAUGAAAUAUGGCAUGUUGUUGCAGCCUAUACUGGUGAAAGAUUUUUUGCAUCGAGUAAUGCUGUUGCUGUUCCUUGGUGCCGGACUGCUGGUGUUGUGCACAAAAGUUACAUCCAGUUUUAAUUGUUAUUUGCGUCUAUGAAGUUAACCGUUUAUUUGGUGAGAAUGAAAAAAAUAGUAAUAUACGGGGAAUUUUUACGUUGAACAAAUAAUAAACAUGCCUUAGCGAUUGGGAAACCAGCGAGGAGGAGAUUGGGGGGAGGAGGGCAAUUGAUUUUCAUUAGCUAGAAGAAGUCGUUGUUUGUUUUAAUAAGGUUGACAUAAAAUCGUUUGUCUAUCACAUGCAUAUACCUACCUAUAUAACCACAUCUAUUCUUCAAACCCCAUAACUUCCACCAACAACCAUUUCUUAAACCCCCAUUUCCCCACAAAUGACAAAUAUCUUUAAUAUGCAAAUGUUAUUGUUGAAUAAAUAAACCAUCUACAUAAUA